AGCGGAGAAAUGAAACACUGAGCAGGGAUCCAAAUGCGGAAGAGCGUAGCGCGUGAACAGUAGGCCAGGCCAUGUACGCGCCUUCUCCAGUUUGGCAUUUUCCCUCUUUUUCUCGUACGAUUCCCUACAUCUCAGCAGCUAUGACAGGUACGGCGGCACGCGUUGUCCUUAUGCUUUGGGAUUGAGCCACGUUGCAUCUAAGGACAAAGGAGGUGAUCCCAAUCGUCCACCUCUAAUUUUUAUCCGUUCAAUUGGAGGAUCGUUUGGGGAUAUUGGAGAUUUUGGGACGGAUUUGAAGGAAUUUCAAACCUUUGGUUGAAAACUCGGUUUUUCCCUUGUCCUUUUCCCUCACAAAAGAUGAACCCUAAUUCUUUUCCCCUAUAUAUAUUUUUGCUAUCUUUAGUGUUAAAUGGGGAUUUUUUUUCUGGGAAAUUAGAAAUUUUAAGGGGGAAAUUUGGCAAAGGGUAAUAGUGUUCAGAGUUUUCUUUCUGAUUUUGGUUUCUUAGGCAGAAACAGGGGAGUUUUGGGAGGUUUUUUUUUGGGAGUUCGUAAGGUGAGAACACUAGAGAGGAACUAAGCAAGAUAUCAAAAGAUAACAAUACAAGAAUACAUUCUUUAGGCAGAGAAGUCGAUCUUGAGUGAAAACAUCACAUUUCCCGCUCACUUCGUCAUCGUUUUCUCUCGAGCCAUGGAGAUUUGUGAUUCAGAACUUUCUUGGGAUCCUUCUUGGUUGUUGCUGGUGUAGCGUCCCGGGUAGAAGAUCGUCAUUUACUGCUCGUCCUGUCUGUAGCUCGCUGCCUAGUAAAAGUUCCUUCAUUUCAACAUGGACACCAAGACGCCAGACAUUCUCCGCGUAUGGUGGGACAACCUCAAAUAUUGUAAAAAGAGAGAAAUCUUGAUUCACCUGGGUCACUUACCUUCAAUAAUGGACUUCAAGGUAUGGCCCACGUUUAUCGAGGUUAUCACUCGAUUCUGGGACGAUGAGAAGAUCGUUUUUCGAUUUGGAGAUGUCAAAAUAAUACCUACGCUGGAGGAAAUUAAGGAUUGUCUGGACUUUAUCGAGAUGUGUGGCAAGAGGAAAAAAUGUCCAAAUCAUCACAUCCUUCUUCAAGAUAGGCCGACUGGUGAGGUAUUAAAGAACAUAUUGUUACUAGUAAAUACAAACUGGUUGGAAACCCACGAUAUACCACUAAUGAGAUUUUUUGAGAGAUGGGGGCACGACAGCUAUUUCAGACUAUUUCCCAAUGAAUUUCACAAUCACAGUACCUGGAGCGAAACUCAGACUAUCGCUUUCUUUGCAUGCCAUUUAGGAACUAUGGUGUUCCCUAAAGAUGAAGGAAAGGAAAUCGACACCCGGGUUGUGAUGGUAGUGGAUGCCAUGUUCAGAGGAAUUGGUAGAAAACAAGAAGAAAAUAAGUACUGUAGUUUAGCCCUGGUCAUUUUGGCCGGCAUUUAUCGAUCUUUAAGCCUGUGUAAAAAUGGGUUCCCGUUUUUCAAGUUUGCAACAUUCUACUUCAAUGGUGGUUGAUUGAGCAACUCUACAAAAGGGAUGGCGCCCAGGUACAAGAGUUGGCCAAACCGAGCCAGACGAGUCCUCUUGAUAACUAUGAAUUCUAUCCAAGUGUCCGCAGAUUUCCAAUUCAUACCACCAGGGGUGCGUGGGCAAGGGUAUUUUAUGAUUUGAAAUAAGUAGACAUAUAGUGGAUGUUACCAAACUUCAAGUCCGAGAGGAUAGCAGCACAAGGGGAAUAACUUCCAUUUUUAAUCCUUCCUGGCAUUAAAGGAUUGCGUCCCUACAACCCAGCAAGAGUGAUGCGACAAUUUGGUAGAACACAAAUCAUACCCGCUGAAGGGGAUGCUAGCUCUUUUGUUGUCGAUUACAGCGAGAACGGCAAAAUACCUUUCGCUAAGAUCAUCCUCCAGGAAUGGGACGGACGUGUCAACAUGAAGUGGGAUAUGACCUAGAGUAGAUAUGAAGCUGGGUAUGUCAACGAAUACAAGACAUGGUUGUAGAAUGAUCUGCAUGGUGUAGUGAAUCUGACACCACGCACAAGUCAAAAAAUUGAAGACGUACAGACAAGGCUUCAAAUCCACGCAUACAAUUUUCAGCAAGAAUGGGGCCGAAGGGAGCAAGAAUUUUAGCAGAAAGAGCGAGAAUUUCAGAAGAGAGACCAAGAAUUUCAACAAAGGGAGUGAGAGUACCAAUUCCGAGAGUUAGAAAGUCAGAGGUUUUUAGUUGUGACGUCACAAGAGCUAGCUGAUACAAGGGCUUGUCUGAUGCGUUUGGACACAACCCUGGACGAGCAGAUGAACACUUUACGAGUCAUACCAACAUCUUCAAAAGUUGUGUUCCCCGAGCCAUACGUGUUCACCAGCAAGUGUAUCAUCCGCAAAGAAGUAAAGAAGGCCAGAAGAGGAGCCCACCCAUCAACAUUUUGACUCCCCUGCGUGGGAUUGUUUUCUAUCUGUAUUUUGCAUCACAUCCCCCUCCUUAAAUGUACCCCGUUUGAUUUAAAAUUAUGUAAGGAACGCUAUGAUAUUUAGUGAAGUUUAUUUUGGGGAUACAACUAUUUGUUGAAAUGACGCAAUACAUCCUUCAAAUCGCUA